CUUCCCCAUGAUGUGUUUAAAGAUAACCAUUUGGCCCUUUGUUUCCUUGAAGGAACAGGGUAUAAGUAUUCACUGUCUCCGUCAUUUGUCGGUUCUGUGUUUAUCUGUACUUGGGUAACAGACCCACUAGUUCCUUUGCUACAUUAAACAACCUAUUUUGAAACGAAGACGUGCCUGCAUUUAUUUUUCUACUUACAAAAGUACGGCGGAACAAAUCGAACUCUUAAAAAUUCCACAUUAUUGGCGAGCCAGCCCAAAUCCGUCGUUCUUGUUGCGUUUUUCAAAAAAAAAAAAAAAAAAAAAAACUGGGGAGGCUGACAUUCGCGUGUGACACUGGCCUACAGAAGAGACUUUCUUUUUUACGUUGACGCCGAAUUCAAGAAAGGAUUACAGUAAGAGGACUGUUUUGGAAGCCAUUUGCCAACACUGAAGGAAAAACGGACUUGAAGGCACGGAACGGACCACGUACAUUUAAUUAAUCGUGAUGAGGAUGAGGCUCCUGGUAUUCAGGAACAGGUUGGAGGUCAGCACUAAGUGGGAUGUUUCUGUCAUAUUCAUAAACGACACACAAUGUGUCAAGGACAAUACACGCAGUUGCAGUUGGAUUCACCAAAUGGACAUCAGACAGGUGGAAAGACAAUGAAGCAUUGACAACAGAGAUCACAUGGAAUGUGUCAAGCAAAUCUUCAUAUAGAGCACAUAUGAUUGAGAGUGGAAGACAGUUUCCAAGAAUACAAGAAUUCAUUGUGACAGUAAAAGCACGUAAUUGGACACAUUAUGAUAAGGCAAUAACUAGUUGAGAUGAGGGACAGGAUAACCAGGGGAGAUGGGCCAUGGAGCAUGGAUCUACAUAUUACCCUGGUCUAACAAUAAUGCAUCUAAAUUUAUACGGUUAAAAAUAAAUAAAUAAAUAAAUAAUAAUACAUAUAUGUAUGAAGUUACAUUUGAGAAUAGACAAUGCCAACCUCUAAAGGAAUGGGAAGACUCAAGCAGUUGGACUGAAGCAAAUGUCCUCCACUGCACCCUAUUCCUAGAGAAGGCAUCAUUUUUGGACCAGAAGGAAAAAGAAAAAAAAAGGGUUUAUAAUAUGAUGUAAAUACGGUAUUCAUGCAUGCUGUUUAUGAUUGAGCUAACAUCAUUGUCAUGUUUGAUCAGUAUUGUUUAAGGUUUGAACUGGUAAGGGAAUGGCUGAAUCAAACAUUCUUACAGAUUACUACAUUCAUACAUGUUAUGCAUGAAAGUCAUGCAAUAAAUUGUAUCUAUUAACUCUAAUGAACUGUCCCCAGAGAGGAAUGUGCACCCUUUAGAGGAAGUGGAGAGGGUGGUGGACCAGUGUCACUGGUGUAUUCUGAGUCACCCCACAGGACUUCCAUAUGGUAAUAUAAGGUGUUAAUCACCCCCCUGGUUUCUGGUUUACACCAGCAUACACUGUUCAGAUGGGGAACAUUUGUUUACCUACUACUGAUGCCAGUGAGUCCAACAGCUUGGCCACGUGGGAUGAUGCCUACCUGGUUCCUUAGUCAAAUGUGUUUGCAGGUAUUCAUGCUCAGGUGAAGAAAGCUCUAAUGGAGAGUGAUUCAACACUACUCAAAACAAAAAUGGAGGUGAGCUUGGCCCAGGCAGAGGCCACAGUCCUGAAGCGACAAGGAUGCUCUGAUGAGAACACAUUUUUGGAACCGGAUAUUCCUGGCUAUUGUAGGUCUAAUAGUAAUUCGUAUCCUCAAUGGUCAAACACAGUGUUAUUGCUGGCGCAAACAGAAAAAAAAAACAGUUGGAGAAAGUCAUUGAUAGAAAUGAAACUGUGGGAUGGCUCAGAAAUAACCCCUGAAUAAUUUGUGUGCUUUUGUUUUAAUUUUUAUGUUUUAUUUUUGCUUCAUAUUCUUUUCUAUACAUAUACCUUCGAUUAUAGAAGACUUUCUUAUAAAAAAUUUAAAAAAAGUAGGGAAUGUUGGAAAACAUGGGAGCCACAGUUCUACCCUUCUGAGGUGUCUCACAUAGUAGUGGGACAGCUGCAGAUAGGAUUGAUUGUUUACCACCACACUCAGUUAAAUUGACCUUUUAUCACACCCUUUGUGCUACAUCCUCUCCCUUUGGUAUGCAGUAUCAUCUACCCCCUACUUCAGUCCAACUUCCCCACACCUUGUUUCUUCCCCCCCCCAAUGUCUGAUUACCUCGCCCCCCCCUUCCCCAUUCACACCCUUUGUGCUACAUCCUCUCCCUUUGGUAUGCAGUAUCCUCUACCCCCUACUUUAGUCCAACUUCCCCACACCUUGUUUCUUCCCCCCCCAAAGUCUGAUUACCUCGCCCCCCCCCUUCCCCAUUCACACCCUUUGUGCUACAUCCUCUCCCUUUGGUAUGCAGUAUCCUCUACCCCCUACUUUAGUCCAACUUCCCCACACCUUGUUUCUUCCCCCCCCCAAUGUCUGAUUACCUCGCCCCCCCCCUUCCCCAUGAUGUGUUUAAAGAUAACCAUUUGGCCCUUUGUUUCCUUGAAGGAACAGGGCAUAAGUAUUCACUGUCUCCGUCAUUUGUCGGUUCUGUGUUUAUCUGUACUUGGGUAACAGACCCACUAGUUCCUUUGCUACAUUAAACAACCUAUUUUGAAACGAA